rnacentral:rRNA from 1 species
UCUCCUCCUAAAGAGUAACGGAGGAGCACGAAGGUUGGCUAAUCCUGGUCGGACAUCAGGAGGUUAGUGCAAUGGCAUAAGCCAGCUUGACUGCGAGCGUGACGGCGCGAGCAGGUGCGAAAGCAGGUCAUAGUGAUCCGGUGGUUCUGAAUGGAAGGGCCAUCGCUCAACGGAUAAAAGGUACUCCGGGGAUAACAGGCUGAUACCGCCCAAGAGUUCAUAUCGACGGCGGUGUUUGGCACCUCGAUGUCGGCUCAUCACAUCCUGGGGCUGAAGUAGGUCCCAAGGGUAUGGCUGUUCGCCAUUUAAAGUGGUACGCGAGCUGGGUUUAGAACGUCGUGAGACAGUUCGGUCCCUAUCUGCCGUGGGCGCUGGAGAACUGAGGGGGGCUGCUCCUAGUACGAGAGGACCGGAGUGGACGCAUCACUGGUGUUCGGGUUGUCAUGCCAAUGGCACUGCCCGGUAGCUAAAUGCGGAAGAGAUAAGUGCUGAAAGCAUCUAAGCACGAAACUUGCCCCGAGAUGAGUUCUCCCUGAGACUUUAGGUCUCCUGAAGGAACGUUGAAGACGACGACGUUGAUAGGCCGGGUGUGUAAGCGCAGCGAUGCGUUGAGCUAACCGGUACUAAUGAACCGUGAGGCUUAACCUU